AUGACAAUGCUUUCGAUAGUCUAUACUAAAUUACUUUGUACGAAUGCACAUCUCGGCCGUCGGGUAGCUGAUCACCAUUUCAAAGUCUAUAUCCGUGGUUCAAGAAAUGGAAUUGCUAUUCUUGAUUCAGACAAGACACUGAUUUGUUUACGAAACGCUCUUCAUUUUAUAGGAUCUCCCAGUCGUCAAAAAGGCCGUUCCUUCUUUUUAAAGACCAAUCAUUUAUUUAUUUAUGAGAUAACGGAAGAAAUGGCGAGCUAUUUAAGAAGCUAUUUAAGAAAUGUGAAUUCUCAUUGUUUCGAUGAUUCUCAAUGGAAGAUCGGGGCAAAGAAGAAGAUCAAUUUUGGGUUGAACCAACAACCUGAUUGUGUGGUUAUUCUGAAUGCAGAUAGAAAGUCUUCGGUCAUACUGGAAGCUGAUCGAUCACAAAUACCUAUUCCAUCCUUAGUUGAUUCUAUGAUCCCAUGGGAAUCCUAUAAAAGAAUCACUUAUCCCAUCCCAGCGAAUGAUCCUAUACAGUUCGUAUAUCUAUUUCGUCAUUCGAUCAUGAAAACAGUGAUUCUUGAACAAAAUGCGAUUAGUAGAGAAGCGCAAUCUCUCAGAGUCACUUUGAGUACGGGGAAGUCCGUAGGAGGGAUGAGAUCCGCCUGCUACUCCACCUCUUCUUCUUCCCCAAUAGACGAAGAAGAAAAUAGGGCCAAGGCGCUAUUGGAGAUGCGCAAAAAAUAUCCAUCGGGAGAUGGUGCUGACGCUGACGCUAACGCUCGCAAGGCGGUUUUGCAGGCAAUUUCUAAAAAUACUUUUUUUUCGUUGAGCUCAUAA
rnacentral:rRNA from 1 species